GAUGAACGCUGGCGGCGUGCCUAAUACAUGCAAGUCGAGCGAAUGGAUUAAGAGCUUGCUCUUAUGAAGUUAGCGGCGGACGGGUGAGUAACACGUGGGUAACCUGCCCAUAAGACUGGGAUAACUCCGGGAAACCGGGGCUAAUACCGGAUAACAUUUUGAACCGCAUGGUUCGAAAUUGAAAGGCGGCUUCGACUGUCACUUAUGGAUGGACCCGGGUCGCAUUAGCUAGUUGGUGAGGUAACGGCUCACCAAGGCAACGAUGCGGAGCCGACCUGAGAGGGUGAUCGGCCACACUGGGACUGAGACACGGCCCAGACUCCUACGGGGGGCAGCAGUAGGGAAUCUUCCGCAAUGGACGAAAGUCUGACGGAGCAACGCCGCGUGAGUGAUGAAGGCUUUCGGGUCGUAAAACUCUGUUGUUAGGGAAGAACAAGUGCUAGUUGAAUAAGCUGGCACCUUGACGGUACCUAACCAGAAAGCCACGGCUAACUACGUGCCAGCCGCCGCCGUAA
rnacentral:rRNA from 1 species